rnacentral:rRNA from 1 species
AUUGAACGCUGGCGGCAGGCCUAACACAUGCAAGUCGAACGAGCGGCGGACGGGUGAGUAAUGUCUGGGAAACUGCCUGAUGGAGGGGGAUAACUACUGGAAACGGUAGCUAAUACCGCAUACCAUCAGAUGUGCCCAGAUGGGAUUAGCUAGUUGGUGGGGUAAUGGAUCACCAAGGCGACGAUCCCUAGCUGGGUUGAGAGGAUGACCAGCCAAACGGGAACAGAGACACGGUCCAGACUCCUACGGUAGGCAGCAGUGGGGAAUUGUGCACAAUGGGCGCAAGCCUGAUGAAGCGAUGCCGCGUGUAUGAAGAAGGCGUUCGGGUUGUAAAGCACUGUCAGCGGGGAGGCGUUACCCGCAGAAGAAGCACCGGCUAACUCCGUGCCAGCAGCCGCGGUAAUAC